rnacentral:rRNA from 1 species
AAAAUAAAUAGUUUUUUAAUUGAAAACUUGAAUGAAAGAGUUGAUAAAAUAUAAAUUGUCUUAAAUUAAUUAUAUUGAAUUUAAAUUAAAAGUUAAAAUGCUUUUAUAUUUUUAUUAGACGAUAAGACCCUAAGAAUUUUAUUAUUUAUUCUUUUAUAAUUUUUAUUAUAAAUUUAUAAAAGAAUAAAUAAUUUUAUUGGGAGGGUAAAUAAAUUUUGAACUUUAAUUUAUAUUAAAUAUUUUUUGAUAAAAUUUUAAUGAUUAUUAUUAAGAUUAUAAGAAUUAAUUACCUUAGGGAUAACAGCGUAAUAAUUUUGGAGAGUUCAUAUUGAUAAAAUUGUUUGC